rnacentral:rRNA from 1 species
UUCGGCCGGAAGAUACGUUAUCUAGUGGCGGACGGGUGAGUAACACGUGGGUAACCUGCCUUAUGGAGGGGGAUAACAGAGAGAAAUCACUGCUAAUACCGCAUAAGCACACAGUACCGCAUGGUACAGGGUGAAAAGAUUUAUCGCCAUAAGAUGGACCCGCGUCUGAUUAGCCAGUUGGCAGGGUAAAAGCCUACCAAAGCAACGAUCAGUAGCCGAUCUGAGAGGAUGACCGGCCACAUUGGGACUGAGACACGGCCCAAACUCCUACGGGAGGCAGCAGUGGGGAAUAUUGCACAAUGGGGGAAACCCUGAUGCAGCGACGCCGCGUGAGUGAAGAAGUAUUUCGGUAUGUAAAGCUCUAUCAGCAGGGAAGAUAAUGACAGUACCUGACUAAGAAGCCCCGGCUAACUACGUGCCAGCAGCCGCGGUAAUACGUAGGGGGCAAGCGUUAUCCGGAUUUACUGGGUGUAAAGGGAGCGUAGACGGAGUGGCAAGUCUGAAGUGAAAACCCUGGGCUUAACCUGGGGACUGCUUCGGAAACUGUUAAUCUAGAGUGUUGGAGAGGUAAGUGGAAUUCCUGGUGUAGCGGUGAAAUGCGUAGAUAUCAGGAAGAACACCGGAGGCGAAGGCGGCUUACUGGACAAUAACUGACGUUGAGGCUCGAAAGCGUGGGGAUCAAACAGGAUUAGAUACCCUGGUAGUCCACGCUGUAAACGAUGAAUACU